AAAGCGUUGCCGUAGGCAACGACCCGAAGGGCGAAGCGCGCAGCGCUGAGUCAUCCUUCCCCCACCACCA
rnacentral:sRNA from 1 species